GGGAUUUUUUUUUAAAUAGAACUUUUUAAUUCACUAUGAGUAAAAGACAAAUAUUACUAUUGAGUUUCAUUACUGUAUUUUCCCAGAAUGAUGAUAAUGAUGUGUACAGGGUUUUUUUAUUCUGUUGAAUGCUUUAUGUUCUAUAUGCAAUCAUCUUCCAAAGUUAUAUUUUAGAUCAGACUGAGACUGAUAAUAUUAUUCAAGAUGACAUAAAUCAAAACAGAUUUUUCCAUAAACACAAUGUUAAAAUGGUAUAAUUAAUUCCAGGCCAAAAAAUUUGACCAAGAAACAGAUACAGUGUUCUCUGGUUAUAAUGUGGGUUUGCAGGAUGGAGAUUAAGCCUGCAUUAUAAGUGUGAAGCCUUAUGAAUGGUCAGGCACAGGUUUGAUUCUUAUAUGCCUGAGUCAGGAUUUCUGACACCAGCUGAGUUUUUGUAUGAUUCAGCAACACAGUUGUUUCUGGCCAAAGAAACACAGUUGUGGUGUGGAUAAGGAUGGAGCAGGAGAUCCUAAAGACACAAUAAGUCAGACCACACAAGUUAAUAAUAAUAACAAUUUAUGUUUAAUAUGAGAGAGAUUCCUUUACAUUUGUGUACAUAUUGAUUAUUUAAUAUAUUAUUUGGGAGGAUAAUUGCCUUAUCAUUGGAGUCUUGAUGUUGGUUAGACAGUCAGUGGUCUGAUGGUCUGUUGAUGACUUUGAUUUAGAUCUCUAGCACAGAUGUACAGGAUGAGUUUGAAAAUGGCAAGGGAGGAAACAAAGAAUGAUGACAAUGUUGGAGCUUCAGGAGAAGGUGGAAAGAAUUCUCAAUGGAGACAGAUGGUGAAUGCAGAUGGACGAAUAAUGAGGAAGACUUGGCAGCAAAGGACUGACAAACUCAGAAGAAGAUGGUAGUUACGGAUAGAUGAACUAGGAGGAAGACCCUGAACAUUUGUUCAGCAUGUCUUUUAUAUUGUUGUUCAACUCCUCCCCCCAUUGGUGCAAAGACGGGCUGUUUGGGUCUCAAGAUGACCUUUCUUGGCUUAGGUUUCUCCCCUGGAUCUUAUCUAUAUUUGAUAACCUGGAUUAUAAAUUCUUAUCUGUCAUUCAAAGAAAGGUUAUUUUUGCUCUGGUUUCCAGUGUGUCCUUUAUCUCCAAUUUUAUGAUAAAUAUUGUCAUUCCCUUCUUUAAUUAUUAUUGCAGUAUGUGUUAUUUUUCAGAAAUACUAACUGUUAAUUAAGUUGUUUUCAUCUUUCUUUUGCCAGAUCACAUGACCCUCAUAGAUGGGGACAAUCACAGGUUUAAUCCAGUCACUUAGAAUUACACCUUUCAUCUAACACAGUUUAUACAGGUAUCUCAUUCAUAUCAUAACAGACUUCCCACCAUACUUCAAUAUCUCAGUUGUGGCUCCAUCUAUGCCAGAACUCUUAUUAUAUUUCAAUCUGUCAAUUGCACUCAUAAUAUCAUUUUCACUGAUUUUCUUAUCAUGCUCAUAUUCAUUUAUUACAUUCUCUCUCUCGGAUCUCAGCUUC
rnacentral:lncRNA from 1 species